UACGUAGGGGGCUAGCGUUGUCCGGAUUUAUUGGGCGUAAAGAGCGUGUAGGCGGCCAGGUAGGUCUGGUGUGAAAACUCGAGGCUUAACCUCGAGAUGUCAUCGGAAACCAUUUGGCUAGAGUCCGGAAGAGGAGAGUGGAAUUCCUGGUGUAGCGGUGAAAUGCGCAGAUAUCAGGAAGAACACCCGUGGCUAAGGCGGCUCUCUGGGACGGUACUGACGCUGAGACGCGAAAGCGUGGGGAGCGAACAGG
rnacentral:rRNA from 1 species